GUUCAUCUGUUAUGAUCUUUGUGUGUUAGUUGUAUUUCCCAGAGAUUAUUGGACAUCUGCUGAAGUGGAAGUGGAGGGUGUUUCAGACCAAAGAGGUUAUUGGAUAUUUGCACAAGUGGAAGGUGUUUCAAAGAAAAGAGAUUAUUGAGCAUUUGCUGAAGUGGAAGUGGAGGGUCUUUCAAACCAAAGAGAUUAUUGGACAUUAAGCUGAAGUGGAAGUGGAGGGUCUUUCAAACCAAAGAGAUUAUUGGACAUUAAGCUGAAGUGGAAGUGGAGGGUGUUGCAAACCAAAG